rnacentral:rRNA from 1 species
CGCGUAGGCGGGAUGGCAAGUCGGUCGUGAAAUCCUUCGGCUCAACCGAAGAACGUCGAUCGAUACUGCUGUUCUUGAGGAUUGCAGAGGAGACUGGAAUUCCCGGUGUAGCGGUGAAAUGUGUAGAGAUCGGGAGGAACACCGGUGGCGAAGGCGGGUCUCUGGGCAAUUCCUGACGCUGAGGCGCGAAAGCGUGGGGAGCAAACGGGAUUAGAUACCCCGGUAGUCCACGCUGUAAACGAUGACGACUAGGUGUGGGGGGGUUCAGUCCCUUCCGUGCCGCAGCUAACGCAUUAAGUCGUCCGCCUGGGGAGUACGGCCGCAAGGUUGAA